rnacentral:rRNA from 1 species
CCUACGGGUGGCAGCAGUGGGGAAUAUUGGGCAAUGGGCGCAAGCCUGACCCAGCAACGCCGCGUGAAGGAAGAAGGCUUUCGGGUUGUAAACUUCUUUUCUCAGGGACGAGCAAAGUGACGGUACCGUCGGAAUAAGCCAGGGCUAACUACGUGCCAGCAGCCGCGGUAAUACGUAGGUGGCAAGCGUUGUCCGGAUUACUUGGGUGUAAAGGGCGUGUAGCCGGGCGCGCAAGUCAGAUGUGAAAACCCAGGGCUCAACCCUGACCCUGCAUUUGAAACUGUGUUUCUUGAGUGUUGGAGAGGCAAGCGGAAUUCCGUGUGUAGCGGUGAAAUGCGUAGAUAUACGGAGGAACACCAGUGGCGAAGGCGGAUUGCUGGACAGUAACUGACGCUGAGGCGCGAAAGCGUGGGGAGCAAACAGGAUUAGAUACCCGGGUAGUC